GCACUUGAAGACCUCAGAGUGAUUCUUAAUGCAAUAUUUCACAAAUGCAUGGGGUGUCCGAAAACUUUUUUUCCACCACUGUAUAUCAAACAAGGAGAAAAUGGAGAUUUUGGUUUGUCUGUAACACACUACAGCUGUCUUCUUUCAGUGACAGUGGGUUACCCUUUUUAAGGUUCAUGAUUGCUAUGCGAUCAGUAAAACAUUGCUUUAGAAUAAGCAUAUGCUACAGAAGACUGCAUUUUGUUGUUUUGC